UUUUUUUUUUUUUUUUUUAUCAUCAUCAUUGCCAUCGCUGUCGCAAUGUUGUUGUUAUUGUUGUUUGUCUGAAGCGGAAGGGUAAAGGGUCUUUUUUCAAAAUAAUACUUGGUCCCAUAAGAGAAGAUGAUAACACCAACAACAACGACGACAACAAAAACAACAUGGGACAAAUUCGUGAAAUGAUUGUAGUAGGAUUUGAAAGUGUGUUCAAAUGCAAUUUAGGGCCCGUUUGGGGUUGCGGUAGUUUAUUUAAAAGUACUUCCCUAGUAGAGUUUUUAAUAAAAGUAUUUAUUAACUGCUUAAAUACUUUUAAAUAUAUUAUUUGGAGACAUAGUUCAAUAAGUGCUUAUUGUAUUGGAUAAUAUGUGAUUUGAAAUUUUUUUAAAGUAUUUAUCUCUUUAUUUGAUUCAUAAUAUAGGAUAAAUGAUUAAAUUUGAUAUUUUAUUUUAUAAAUCACAAAAGCUACUUUAAAAGCACCAUAUUUGGCUUUUGCUAAAAGUACUUUUAACAUCAAAAGCCCUAUUCCUAAUUUUAUGGAAUGAUGUUCACCAAACACUUUAAAAAUCCUUUUAGCACUUAAAAGUGUUUUUUUUUAUCAAAAAUACCGCAACCUCAAACGGGCCUUAAUCCAUUAUAUAUUAUCUCAUUAUAUUGGCAGUGGAUGAAGAAUUUUCAAUCCAAAUUAUGGGAAACAUCAAGAAGAGGAGUUUGAGCCUAUCACUAGUGAAGCUUAUUUAUUACCUCUAAAGAAAUCAAUGUUGUAAAAAUUGAAGAGUAAAGAAAUAAAGAUCUUGCCAUAAAUUAAGGUUUCAAAUAAGUCAAGUGGAGUUGAGUUUCUAGUGGUAGGCCUCUUACGGAUUGUUUUGAUAGUCUUUUCUGUAAUGACACAAGUGUGGGUCUUCUCUCCUUUCAAGGAUCGUGUGUUGGGGCUUUGUGUAAAACUAAUUCUCAUUCGGCCCUGGCCUUUGAACUUCCAUACGUGGAACAUGGUCAGCAACAAAGCAACAUAACGAGGACCAUUGAGAAAGCUCUCAUGAAUUUAUCAAUCCCUGGAUCUAGUCAGCGGCAACAUCACAACCAUCAAUAGAGGGACCAUACAGCCUACUUACUAAGCGGGACCAUUGGACAACUCUUGGUUCUUAGUUGAGGUGGUCUUGAGCUGUCCAAAUGGAGGUGGUCUGUGCUUAGCUUGAUAUGAAUCAGUUAAGUUCCAAGUUAUUUCAAAGCAUGUUACUUACUUCUGUGUGCGAGUUAUUGAAUUAUCUGGCCUUCAAUGGGUCCUCUUUCUUUUUUAUGGCC
rnacentral:lncRNA from 1 species